ACCCAAGCCCCAUUCUUCUUGGUCCUUGCUCCAGGUGCGAAUCCUCCUCACUCAAUGGUGGCCCUUCCAGCGUCUUGCAGAGAAAGAGUUGGGACUCCAUCUCUGGCUGGCCUUAAAAGUCGCAAGCCAUUCCACCCCUGAGACGUAUGAGGUUUGAAGGAAAGCCGAAAGGAUAAGUCGUUUUCCAAAUUUUCAUUUUUCCAAAUUCUUGGAGUAGGUGACUGGUUCGUGCCAAGCGAAGAUGAGGCAGGUUCGCGCCACUUGCUGCAGUAUCGCCACAGGACACGUUAGAGUCACCCUGUGCCAAAACCCACUGCAGAUGAAAUUGAGGUGGCGUGAUCAGGUGCGAGUCUCUGGUCCAAGCAGUUUCACGUGAUCCAUAAGCAGCUAUGCAGGUCCACCCUGAGUUAAUUGGUCUUAACAUCCUAUUUCCUCAUGGAAUCAACACACCAGUAAAAAAAAAAGGGGGGGGGCAUUAUAAAACAAAGCAGAGCCCCUCACCUCGUUCUAGCCGCAGGAUAUAUGGGAUAUACGACAAAGUUACCUUUCCACAGAUGGCAAGCUCGCUGUAGCAGGAACCUGACAACCUGAGAAUCAAGAUGGCUCCUGGCUUGUAGUGUUGAGUUAGCUAAAUAAAUAAAUAAAGGGAAGUGGAUAUGUCUUCUUUAGC
rnacentral:lncRNA from 1 species